ensembl:lncRNA
NNNNNNNNNNNNNNNNNNNNNNNNNNNNNNNNNNNNNNNNNNNNNNNNNNNNNNNNNNNNNNNNNNNNNNNNNAUAUAUAUAUAUAUAUAUAUAUAUAUAUAUAUUUUUUUUUUAUUUUACUUUUUUAUUUUCUCAACUUUUUAUUAUUCUUACUAUUUUGCUUCAUUUAAAUAUAAUACCUACUUUUGUAAUAUACUCAUAAUGUUUUACAGCAUACUGUUAAAAAAAAUUCCUCCAAAAAAAAAAAAAAAAAUUUUUGCCUCAUAAGAACAUUAUUACUACUACAUAUAUACAUAUAUUAAAAUUAAUGGUUAAGUCAAAAAACCAAAAAUAUAUAUAUAAUUUUUUUUUUUUGCAUUUUAUUUUUUUAUUUUACUUAUUUUAAGUAUAACACGUAUUUUUGUAAUACAUUCAUAACUGUUUUACAGCAUACUGCUAAAAAAAAAAAAAAAAAAGAUUGUGAGCCAUAAGAACGUUACUACACAUAUACAUAUAUUAAAAUUAAUGGUUGAGCCAAAAAACCAAAAAAAUAUAUAUAAUUUUUUUUUUUUUAUUUUACUUAUUUUAAGUAUAAUACAUACUUUUGUAAUAUAUUCAUAACUAUUUUACAACAUAUUGUAAAAACAGAAAAAGUCUAUACAUAUAUACGUAUAUUUUAUUAUAUAUAAAUAUAUUUUGUUAUUUGUUCGUUAAAAAUGGUUGGAGCUAUUAUUAUAAAAAACGCAUCUACACAGAAAAUCAAAAAAUAUGCUGUCAAAAAAAGUAAAGUCGAAAAGGAACAAACACAUUCCAAUAUAUCAAAUGAAAAUGUUAACAAAGUUUCAGCAGUUAGAAGGUCUCUAAGAUUAAAAAAAAAAAAUGGUGAUAAUGCUGAUAAUGCUGAUAAUAAUUUAUAUGAAACUGAUAAAACAAAGGAAGAUGUAAAAAGAGCAGCAACAACUAUUUGGCGUUACAUUAAGCGUGAAAUGUAUGAGAAAAAUAGUAAACUAGUCGACAUUAAGGGUUUUAAGAAAGAUGAAUGUGGCAGUAUCAGCACAAGAAAUAAAUGCAAACAGUUGAGCGUUGAACAUAUGAAAGAACACAUUAACAGACUAUUAAUACUAUUAAAAACGGGGGAAGUUUAUUUAAAGAAAAUGCAUGAAAAUUUGUACCAAGAUGAAUUAGAAAAAGAAAAUAUGAUUGUUGUUGCAGCUGGUAAGAACGCAUCACAUGUGCAUAAAGGGAAAACAUAUAUUAACAAUAUUUAUAACACCGUAGUACCAAGCAUAAAAUAUUUUUCGAAAAUAAUAAACAGUAAGAUUUAUGAAUAUAGAGAACAAUAUGAUAAAGAAAAUAAUUCAAUUACUUUUUAUCACGUUGACGGUACUAAGCGUUCAUUUACAUUGCCGCAAAAUACAUUUUAUUAUUUUACAACACAAAAUAAUAACAUUUUUAGUCCUAGUAAUAUAGUUAGUUACAAACAGAGAAGUGAUGAAAAAAUAGUGAAACAUAGUUUUGAAAGUAGUAAUAACGAUAGCAAUUAUAUUUAUGCGUUUUGUAACAACCAUGAGAUGAGCGACAACAAGAGCAAUAAUAACAAUGUAAGUGUAGCAGUUAUAGACACACAAAAGGAAACAAAUAAUAUAACGAAGCUUUCGUUGCAGAAACAACCUGUACGUACAUUUUAUAAUAAUAAUCAUUUAUUUUUGGUAAGUUUGUUAGAUAAUGAUAAUAAAGAAGAUUGUAAUGAAUUGCGCUAUUUUACAUACUCUAUUUAUAAUAACAACGAUAAAGAACCUAUUCGAUUAAUGUAUGUAUCUCCCGUGCAUCCAAUAUAUUCAGAUAUCACAGUAGAUAAGGAUACUUAUAAAAAAUUUUCAGAAUGUAGAUACUUUGAUAAGGAAAAAAAAUGUUUUAUUUGGUCCGAUGAUUUCAUAAACGUUGAUUGUACUGCUGAAGGAUUUAAGAAAUUAAAUACAGUACCCAACUUAAAUAUUAUACAUAUAGAUACAACCGUACCUAUAUGUAUAGCAUAUAAUGAAAGUACGCAGGUAUAUUGCUUUUUUCAUAUCAUAUUUGAUGUAAAGAAAUGUGAUAAAUCGUUUAUUCAUUUAAAUGAUUAUAACCAAAACAUGGAAAACAAAAAUUAUAUAAUCUUAUAUAAUUUUUUGAAUAUGGAGAAAAACAAAUAUUGCUUUGAAAAUAAAGUAUAUAAGGAAAUAAAUUUCAAUACUGAAAUUUAUAAGCCUAAAAUACUAUUUUCAAGAAGAGCAAAAAGCGUCCAUACACAAAUAAAAUUGUGUAUUUUUGAUAAUAUAAAUAAUAUAUUAUUUUUAAUACCAAUUUAUAAUAAGUAUAUACGGCAUAAGAUAAAAAUAAUUCCAAAUAUAAUAAAUUUUGUAGGUAUUAGUUUAUUCAAAGAAAUAUCGUUAUUAGAAAAUUAUUCUCAAAAUAUAUGUGGUUAUGUAAAUAAUAAAAUUAAUACAACUUAUUUAAACAUCCGACACGGAUACAUGGACAUUAAUAGUAUUUCAGUAAAUCUAUCAACGGGAAAUAGAACAAAAAAAUUAUUACAAAAAAUAGGUAUAUCAGAAAAUUUAAAUUGGGAACUCAACCACGAUAAAUCUGAAAAUAAAUUUAAUUCAAUUAAAAAAGAAGAAAGUAUUAAAAAUGAAAAAAAAAACUUAGAUUAUAACAGUUCCGGUGCUGAUAGAAUACUUAAUAUAAAUAAUAUGAAUAAUUUUAUAAUAAUUUUGAGCAAUACAGGGUUAUUACAGUUAUACUCUGAUGAUACAUACAUUUGUGAUAUACCUUUUGAGAAGAGUAGUGAGAGAAUUUAUUAUAUACAUAGCCCAGAUUACAGUAAAAAAUUAAUAGAAACAGUAAAGUUUGAAUUUAAUGAUAUAUUGCUAAAUACGUAUCAAUUUUCUUUUAGUAUAGAACCAAUGAAUAGAACAUUAGAAAAUUUUAUUGCAUUUAUUUAUUAUGCAUGUAGUAAAAAAAUAUCCAAUGAGUUUUUAAAGUUAAUUCUGAAUGAAUAUAAAAAAAGCAACACAAAUAUAUCAUUAUCUAUUGAUCUGAACUGUGAUUGUUAUGUACGUAGAGGUAGUUGUACAUAUGAAUUGAAUAAAAAUAAAGAUGUUGAUAAUAAAGAUAGUAUCAUUGAUAACAUACUAUCUAUUGGGGAUGACCAAUUACAAAUACAUUUUUGUAAAUUUUUGCACUUGUUUAUCUUACUUUUCGUAAAUGACAUUGAUAAAUACAUUAAUUUAACAGGUUUAAUAUACAUAAAAAAUGUUAGUGAUAGAAUUAAUUACAGAAAAAUCAAGAAAUAUAUGCAUAAACUUCAACAAAGUUAUUAUAAUUUACACAAAAAUCCAUAUAUUAUAUUCGUAUAUUUACAACAAUAUUAUGAUGAACUAAAUUUAGAUGGUUCCAUAGAUAUAAACGUAGUAGACGAAAUAUUAUUGUUAAUAAUUAUUUUAGGAUACUGUCUAAAUUUAUAUGGUUAUUCACUGGAAUAUAUAAACAAACUAACCAUAUCACAAAGAGAAUGGAUUGAACCAUUGUACAGACAUAUAUGCGAACAAUUUUAUGAAAAUGUGAUAUUAAAAAAUGAUACAUGUAUGAAUGAUAGUAAAAACAAUUUGAAUGAAAAUAAUAAUAUGAAUGAGACAACAAAUGUACAGGAAAACCAAAACAAAGAACAGGUGUCUAAAGAAGGUAAAGUUGUAGAACCUCUAGAUGCUACGUCCGUAACUACCAUUGCUGGUGUCGAUCCUUCAUGCAUUUCCAUCACCCAUAGUUCUAAUGAUAGUGGUAAUUAUAGAAAUAGCACACGUAAUAACGGUAAUUAUUAUAUCCAAAAAUUUGACGAAAGUGUAUUUGUAAAUUGUUAUUUAAAAAGUAAAUUGGAAAAGGAAUUGUAUAUACCUAACACCUUAAAUGUAUUAGAUAAUAUAUUGAACUGUAAUGAUCAUGAGAAAGCAGAGUUUAAUAAUAAAAUUAAUGAAUAUAUAAAUAGAUAUAUAUGUAUACAAAAUGUGGAAGGUCCUUCGGAAAAAUUGAAUCUAAAGGACGAAUGUGAUCUAAAAGAAAUGGAUAGAACACAUAGUAUCAUAAUGAAGCAAUAUAAGUUUAACAUGAUGGACGGUAGUAAUGAUAGUUAUGAUAAUCGUAGUAUUAAUAGAUGUAGUAUGAUCCGUGAUGUUACCAUUAAUGACAAUAAUAUGUAUGAUGAUGAGCAUAUAACGAAUUAUUAUUAUAAUCAGUUUAAAAAGAUUAAAGAUAAAAUUUUAACAAGUGACUAUUUAAAAUUUUUAUAUUACUUUAAACCAUUGUUUUUUCCAUUAAAACAUUUUUAUGUAAUAAAUUUUUUGAAUAUAUUGAGUGCGGAGCCAAAAGAAAAUGAAAAAAAAAUACUAAAUGAAACAUUGUAUAGAAAUAUAGUUAACAGUGAGUUAAAUGUAGUUUAUUCGCCUGCUGAUGAUUUAAAUUUUAUGAAGGAUAAGUGUGGAUAUAUCAAUUACAGUAAUGGUGCGAAUACGCAUAACAGUCACAUAGAUAAUACAAAAAACGAAAAUGAAUACAUUAAUAACAGUUAUAAUAGUAACAAACAUAAUACGUCUAUACCGUAUGAAAGUUUUAGUGACUGUGAAACAAAUGAAGAAUUUAUAUAUUACUCUAAAAAAUUAGAUAUUUAUACUAAUAAUAUGAAAUAUAUCAUAUCAAAAAACUUAGAUUAUGAAAGUUUAAAUAAUAUAUUAUUAAGAAGUAUUUAUUGUGAAACUGCAUAUGGUAUAAAUAAAUAUUCUUAUUUGAUAAGAAAUAUAAAAAUGGAUAAAAUGAAUAUGCUAUUAAAUGAAAAUAAACAACAAAUAGAAAAUGUAGCGCCAAUGGUUUUAGAAAAACCGGACAUUUUAAAAAAAUUAGAAGAAUUGAGUAAGAACAUUUUAAAUAAUAUAAUAAUAGAAAAAGAUAGAACACAACUAGAAAGCAUAGAAAAUGAGGCGAAGAAAUUGGGUGAAGAAAUGAAUAUGUUUAAACGUAAUAUAACAAAAGAUGAUAACACCAUAGAAAGUAUGUGGCAUUUUCUUUUUCGUAUUUUAGACAAAUUUGAAAUUAUGCAAUAUCUAUAUACAAAGAAUGCUCUGAGUUAUUUAGUAAGAAAGAAUAUGAAUAUAAAUAAUAAGAUUUUGCAGAAGAUGGAAUUAAAAUAUGUGACAAAUGGUGAUAUAAAAAACACUGUAGAAUAUAUAACUGAAAAAAACACAGUGUAUCAACUAAAAAAUGUUAAUUUGCUCCCCAAUUUUAUUAAAUAUUACGAAGAAAACAUUAUAUCAUCACAGGAUAUACUAAAAGAUAAAAAACCUGAAUUAUAUAUUUUUUGUAAGCUUAUAUACAAUUACAUGAUAUAUUUUAAUUAUUAUAACAGUAUGUACGUACAUUUCUUUAAUCGGUUUGAUAAUGAGAUAAACGCUUUGUUAAAUGAGGUAAGGGACUGUUAUGCACAUGAAAUGGAAUUGGAGUACCAGCUUAGAGAACAACGUUCGGGGUGGUACGAGCAAUAUAACAGUAUAGUAACUACGGAGAAAGGACGAGAUUUUAAUCUAAAAGGAAGGUAUAAGACCGAACUCCUAAAUACUGAAGAAAAAAUAAAAAAAAUGGAAAAAGAAAGGGUUAAUAAUUUUAAAGACAUAUUAAUAAAAUAUUCGAUUAGUAAUAUAAAAACAUUGGAACAAGUACAAUUUAUCAUGGAACAAUUGAAUAAUGAUCAUGAGUCAUGUAUGUUAAGCAUGUUCAAUAUAAAAAAACAUAUGCAUUUCGGCCGUUAUAUAGCUGACAUUCAUUAUUGUUUUGAUUUACUUCAUGAGUACUUUGUAUAUUUAAAAGAUAAGCGUAUAGGAUUAUACGAAGAAAAAAUAUAUAACAUACCUUAUAUUAGGGUUGAUUGUUCUUAUACAAGCAAAGUUCACUUUUUACAUUACCUACAAAAUAAACAAAGAAUAGUAAAACCAAGAGAAAACAGCAGAUUGAAAAAAAAUGUAAAUAAAUUAGUUCCUUCGAAACGUAAACUUGAUGAUAUAGAUUUAAUCAAAUUGGUGUCGCAGCCAUCCAAACGCGUCCCAAUGGAGGGAGGAUAUAUAACAUAUGAUGAAUUAAAAAGGGGCAAUUUAAAAAUUAAUUACGACGACCAUAUUAAUGAUAUUCCCAUGGUACAUUCAAAUUCUCAAAUAUCACAAGAACGAGAUGAGAUAGAUCAAAUAAACUAUAAAAGUGAUAUGUAUAAAACACUACCUAAGAUAUUUCACAAUCACACAGAAUAUUUAAAAAUAUUACAAGGGCUUUGUAAAAAUAAAAACACAAAGGGUGGGAUAUUUAAAUAUUUAUCGUUAUUAGAACAUGAAGAAUAUGUUGUUUAUUACUUCGAACAUUACACAUGCGUAUUACUAAGAAUUUUUCAGGAAUAUUAUGAAAAAGGAUAUGCAGAAACAUGUGUACAUUUUGAACAUGAUGAAAUAAAUUUAAAAACUUCAGACGGUUUAAUACAGUUAUUUAUCAAAUUUUGUAACUUCCCAACAUACCCCUCUUUUUGGAAAAUCGUUCUGGCUGAAGAAGAAGAUGAAGAAGAAAAAAAAAAAAAAACAUCUUUAUCCCGUAUAAAAAAUAUAUAUAUGAUUAUGAGUAUAGCCGUUUUGUACAACGUAUAGUGGAAGAAAUAUAUGAAUCACGAAUUCAUGCAAUAGAUAAUUCUUUUGGAUGUAACUUAAAAGAUCCAAAUGUAUAUAAAUGCGACGUAUUAGAAGAUAUAUAUGAGUGUAUGCACAAAAAUGCGAAUAACAAAAUACACAGAAAGCCAUUGUUAAAAAAUACCGAUAAGUAUACAUAUACCUUUACAUAUCUUAAAAAGUCGUUGGACACAAGUAAAUAUAUAGCUCAAAAAUUAAUUGACACACAUAAUAUAACUUUAAAUUCAGAAAAACUUAAUUCUUUUUUUACUGAUAUUUUGUUUUGUUUUGUCAUUGGCAAUUUAUAAUGACACUAUCAUGCCAAGUUUUAAAAAAAAAAAAAUGAUCUUUCGAAGUUGUUUAAAAUGUGUUUUUGCAUUUGUAUCACUAUGCAUGUUCGCAAGUGUGUACAAAAAUACUACAUAAUUUUGAUAAUUUGUUUAUUUGUUAUGUAUAUUUAUGUCAACUUUUUUUUUUCCAUCUAAAUUAAUGGGAACGUUGUAAAAGAGGGUCUUACUCUUUUUUCAUUUUUUACUUUCAUUCUCAUUUCCAUCUUCAUUUUCAUUUUUCAUUUUUCUUUUUUGCAUAUCACUUUUUUGUAUACAAAAAUUUAUGCAUUCAUAUUAAACUAA